rnacentral:rRNA from 1 species
UCCGUAGGUGAACCUGCGGAAGGAUCAUUACCUUUCAAUGCAGAAGAGUUGGGAUGGUUGAGUAUCUCGCCUCUCAAUUCUCGCUGUAUGUUACCCUUGUUUUUCUCAUACUAUUAUUUCCUCGGCAGGCUCGCCUGCCGGGUGAAACAACUUCAAACCUGUUUAAUUUUCAAUCAGCGUCUGAACAAAUUAAUAAUUACAACUUUCAACAACGGAUCUCUUGGUUCUGGCAUCGAUGAAGAACGCAGCGAAAUGCGAUAAGUAGUGUGAAUUGCAGAAUUCAGUGAAUCAUCGAAUCUUUGAACGCACAUUGCGCCCCUUGGUAUUCCAUGGGGCAUGCCUGUUCGAGCGUCAUUUGUACCUUCAAGCUCUGCUUGGUGUUGGGUGUUUGUCCUUGCUCUAGUGGCGGGACUCGCCUUAAAGUAAUUGGCAGCCAGUGUUUUGGUUUUGAAGCGCAGCACAAGUCGCGAUUCAAGUCUAUACGCUAGUUUCCACAAGUCUUUUAUCACUUUUGACCUCGGAUCAGGUAGGGGAUACCCCGCUGAACUUAAGCAUAUCAAUAAGCGGAGGGAAGUCGGACUGGCCAAGGGGCACACCAGGGGGGGGGGAUA